rnacentral:rRNA from 14 species
GCACGAAAGGCGUAACGAUUUGGACACUGUCUCGGAGAGGGACUCGGCGAAAUAGACUUGUCUGUGAAGAUGCGGACUACCUGCACCUGGACAGAAAGACCCUAUGAAGCUUUACUGUAACUUGAGAUUGGUUUCGGGUUUUAUUUGCGCAGAAUAGGUGGGAGGCUAUGAAAAAAUACUUGUGGGUGUUUUGGAGCCAUCAGUGAGAUACCACUCUUGUAAAACUAGAAAUCUAACUUUACACCAUUAUCUGGUUAAAAGACAGUCUCAGGCGGGCAGUUUGACUGGGGCGGUCGCCUCCUAAAAGGUAACGGAGGCGUACAAAGGUUUCCUCUGAACGGGUAGAAAUCGUAUCUAGAGUGUAAAGGCAUAAGGAAGCUUGACUGUGAGACCUACAAGUCGAGCAGGGACGAAAGUCGGUCUUAGUGAUCUGGCGGUAUUACGUGGAAAAGCCGCCACUCAACGGAUAAAAGUUACUCUAAGGAUAACAGGCUGAUCUCCCCCA